rnacentral:rRNA from 1 species
GACGAACCGAGCGAACGUUGUUCGGAAUCACUGGGCUUAAAGGGCGCGUAGGCGGGUGCUCAAGUCCGGGGUGAAAUCCUCCAGCUCAACUGGAGAACUGCCUCGGAUACUGGGUGUCUCGAGUGUGGUAGGGGUAUGCGGAACUAUCGGUGGAGCGGUGAAAUGCGUUGAUAUCGAGAGGAACUCCGGUGGCGAAGGCGGCAUACUGGACCACUACUGACGCUGAUGCGCGAAAGCCAGGGGAGCAAACGGG